rnacentral:rRNA from 13 species
UGUAGCUAAACCUAAAGCAAUGUGCGUGCCGCGCUAUUGCGUCACUGCACGGGCGCAAGGGAAACACGCAAAUGAAUUCGUGGUGGCAAUGGCAAUGGGGGCAAGGCGUUGCUGGAUGUG